GACGAACGCUGGCGGCGUGCUUAACACAUGCAAGUCGAACGGAAAGGCCCUGCUUUUGUGGGGUGCUCGAGUGGCGAACGGGUGAGUAACACGUGAGUAUCCUGCCCUUGACUUUGGGAUAACUUCAGGAAACUGGGGCUAAUAUCGGAUAGGAGCUCCUGCUGCAUGGUGGGGGUUGGAAAGUUUCGGCGGUUGGGGAUGGACUCGCGGCUUAUCAGCUUGUUGGUGGGGUAGUGGCUUACCAAGGCUUUGACGGGUAGCCGGCCUGAGAGGGUGACCGGCCACAUUGGGCCUGAGAUACGGCCCAGACUCCUACGGGAGGCAGCAGUGGGGAAUAUUGCACAAUGGGCGGAAGCCUGAUGCAGCAACGCCGCGUGCGGGAUGACGGCCUUCGGGUUGUAAACCGCUUUCGCCUGUGACGAAGCGUGAGUGACGGUAAUGGGUAAAGAAGCACCGGCUAACUACGUG
rnacentral:rRNA from 1 species